rnacentral:rRNA from 1 species
CCAUAGGUUAAUGAGGCGAACCGGGGGAACUGAAACAUCUAAGUACCCCGAGGAAAAGAAAUCAACCGAGAUUCCCCCAGUAGCGGCGAGCGAACGGGGAGGAGCCCAGAGCCUGAAUCAGUGUGUGUGUUAGUGGAAGCGUCUGGAAAGGCGCGCGAUACAGGGUGACAGCCCCGUACACAAAAAUGCACAUAUUGUGAGCUCGAUGAGUAGGGCGGGACACGUGGUAUCCUGUCUGAAUAUGGGGGGACCAUCCUCCAAGGCUAAAUACUCCUGACUGACCGAUAGUGAACCAGUACCGUGAGGGAAAGGCGAAAAGAACCCCGGCGAGGGGAGUGAAAAAGAACCUGAAACCGUGUACGUACAAGCAGUGGGAGCCUCUUAAUGGGGUGACUGCGUACCUUUUGUAUAAUGGGUCAGCGACUUAUAUUCUGUAGCAAGGUUAACCGAAUAGGGGAGCCGAAGGGAAACCGAGUCUUAACUGGGCGUUAAGUUGCAGGGUAUAGACCCGAAACCCGGUGAUCUAGCCAUGGGCAGGUUGAAGGUUGGGUAACACUAACUGGAGGACCGAACCGACUAAUGUUGAAAAAUUAGCGGAUGACUUGUGGCUGGGGGUGAAAGGCCAAUCAAACCGGGAGAUAGCUGGUUCUCCCCGAAAGCUAUUUAGGUAGCGCCUCGUGAAUUCAUCUCCGGGGGUAGAGCACUGUUUCGGCAAGGGGGUCAUCCCGACUUACCAACCCGAUGCAAACUGCGAAUACCGGAGAAUGUUAUCACGGGAGACACACGGCGGGUGCUAACGUCCGUCGUGAAGAGGGAAACAACCCAGACCGCCAGCUAAGGUCCCAAAGUCAUGGUUAAGUGGGAAACGAUGUGGGAAGGCCCAGACAGCCAGGAUGUUGGCUUAGAAGCAGCCAUCAUUUAAAGAAAGCGUAAUAGCUCACUGGUCGAGUCGGCCUGCGCGGAAGAUGUAACGGGG